UACGAGGGGGGCGAGCGUUGUUCGGAAUUAUUGGGCGUAAAGGGUGCGUAGGCGGUUUGGUAAGUCUGAUGUGAAAUCUAUGGGCUCAACUCAUAGUCUGCAUCGGAAACUGCCGGGCUUGAGUGUGGGAGAGGUGAGUGGAAUUCCUGGUGUAGCGGUGAAAUGCGUAGAUAUCAGGAGGAACACCUGUGGCGAAAGCGGCUCACUGGACCAUAACUGACGCUGAUGCACGACAGCGUGGGGAUCAAACAGG
rnacentral:rRNA from 1 species